AUGUACACAUCAGAGCUGCUGGGGGGGGGGGGUGGCGGGCGAUGGGGCGACAGUCGUCCCAGCGGGGCGCGGGGCCGGGGCGCGGGGCGCGGGGCGCGGGGCCGGCAGGCGGCGCCCUCCCUCCGUCCCUCCGUCCGUCCGUCCCUCCGUCGCUCCGUCGCUCCGUCCCUCCCUCCGUCCCGCCCGCCUCCUCCCGCGCCCUCCGCUCGGGCGCCCGCUCCCGCUCGCGUCGCAGCCGGCACUUUGCAAAACUCCUCGCCCGCCCGCCCGCCCGCGGCGGCCGCAGCUCCGCGCCCUGCCCGCCCCGGCGCGUCCGCGGGGCAGCGGGCGGCGGAGCGCGAGGGCGGCGGCGCGGGGAGCGCGAGGGCGGCGGCGCGGGGGGCGGGCGCGGGCGCGGGCGCGGGCGGCGGGGGCCGGGAGCCGGGGGCCGGGAGCCGGGAGCCGGGAGCCGCGAGCCGCGAGCCGCGAGCCGCGAGCCGGGCCGGAGCCGAGGCGGGGCCGCGCAGCCCCGCGCCGCCGCGCCCCCCGGGCCGAGCCCCGCGCCGCGCCGCGCAGCCAUGGCCGCCCCAACGCCGCCGCCGCCCCGCCGCCCGCUCGCCUGAGGCUCCGCCGGCCGCGGGUGGGGGCCAUGGCCGGCGCCGCCGAGCCCCCCGGCAAGGCGGCCGAGUACCUGCAGGAGCUGACCCGGAUCGUCGCGGCGCAGCAGGAGCUGCUGGCGCGCCGGCGGCGGCGCAUCGAGGAGCUGGAGCGCCAAGUGGCGCGGCUGAGCCGGGAGAACGCCGGCCUGCUGGAGCGGCACCGGCGCCACCUGGCCGCGUGCGCCCGCCGCCCCGACCCCGGCCCCGGCCCCGGCCCCGGCCCCGGCCCCGGCCCGCAGCCGCUGGGCGUCAUCCCGGAGCUCGGCGGCCGCCGCGACAAGUAAGCGGGCGCCGGGGGCGGGCGGGGCGGGGCGGGCGGGGGCGCCAACUUCUCCGGGGCCCGCUCCCCCGGGCCGGGCGGCGGGCGGGGACCGGCCAGAGCCGUCGCCCCGCGCGGGCCCGGGUGGGUCGCGAGCCGCCGUGCCCGGGACCCCGUGCGGCCUCCGGCGAGGGGCGCGCCCCGGGCCCGCGUCCUGGGGCCCCUCGCCUCUGCCUGGCGCGGCCCGGUGCCCCCCGCCCCCCGCCCGCCGCGGCGCGCAUCGCCCGGGCUAUUCCGGCGAGGAUUAAGAGCGGGCCGCGGUGGGGGCGGGUGGGCCGGGCGCGCUCCAGCUCUCGGCGGCGGCGGCUCGCCCCCCGGGGGCCCACGUCGGUGCGGGGUCCCCUCCGCGGAAGUCGGGGCGCGCACCUGGGGCGAGGCGGGGCGCGGGGGCUUCGCGGGACUCCGGGGUCGGCGCCCGGCUGGCUGUCAGCAGCUUCAGGAAAGCUUUCCUGGGAGGCCUGGGCCAAGAGAAGGCAGAGUAUCCCAUGCCGAGGAGGAUGUGUCGGCCAGAACGAGCCGCAGCACGCGGUGGGAGGCGGCCGGCUGGGACAGUGUCUCCGACUCCCAGGGCUCAGGGCCAUCGCCGCUCCUGUUUCCCCGGCAGGUGGGAGAGCCUGCAGAGGGCUGCGGAGAGCGUGCUUCUCUGAAGUUCCCUCGCAGCCGUCUGACAAGCUAAGCAAAUGA
rnacentral:lncRNA from 1 species